ACGGCUCAGUAACACGUGGACAACCUACCCUUGGGUCUGGCAUAAUCCUGGGAAACUGGGUAUAAUUCCAGAUAGGUCACAGAUGCUGGAAUGCACUGUGGCCGAAAGCUCCGGCGCCCAAGGAUGGGUCUGCGGCCUAUCAGGGUUGUAGUGGGUGUAACGGACCUACUAGCCUACGACGGGUACGGGUUGUGAGAGCAAGAGCCCGGAGAUGGAUUCUGAGACACGAAUCCAGGCCCUACGGGGUGCAGCAGGCGCGAAAACUUUACAAUGCGGGAAACCGUGAUAAGGGAAUCUCGAGUGCCAGCAUAUAAUGUUGGCUGUCCAGAUGCCUAAAAAGCAUCUGUUAGCAAGGGCCGGGCAAGACCGGUGCCAGCCGCCGCGGUAACACCGGCGGCCCGAGUGGUAACCGCUUUUAUUGGGUCUAAAGGGUCUGUAGCCGGCCAAGUAAGUCCCUUGGGAAAUCUGGCAGCUUAACUGUCAGGCUGCUAGGGGAUACUGCUAGGCUUGGGACCGGGAGAGGUGAGAGGUACCUUGGGGGUAGGGGUGAAAUCUUGUGAUCCUCGGGGGACCACCAGUGGCGAAGGCGUCUCACCAGAACGGGUCCGACGGUAAGGGACGAAAGCUAGGGGCACGAACCGGAUUAGAUACCCGGGUAGUCCUAGCCGUAAACGAUGCUCGCUAGGUGUCAGUCACGGUGCGACCGUGAUUAGUGCCGUAGGGAAGCCGUGAAGCGAGCCACCUGGGAAGUAUGGCCGCAAGGCUGAACUUAAAGGAAUUGGCGGGGGAGCAC
rnacentral:rRNA from 1 species